rnacentral:rRNA from 1 species
GUUUAAUUCGAAGAUACACGAAGAACCUUACCAGGUCUUGACAUACCAUCGACAGGCACAGAGAUGUGCUCUCCUUCGGGCAAUGGAUACAGGUGGUGCAUGGUUGUCGUCAGCUCGUGCCGUGAGGUGUUGGGUUAAGUCCCGCAACGAGCGCAACCCUCAUUGUUAGUUACUACCAUUCAGUUGAGGACUCUAAUGAGACUGCCAACGACAAGUUGGAGGAAGGUGGGGAUGACGUCAAAUCAUCAUGCCCUUUAUGACCUGGGCUACAAACGUACUACAAUGGCCAAUACAAAGAGAUGCGAAGCGGUGACGUGGAGCGAACCUCAGAAAGUUGGUCUCAGUUCAGAUUGAAGUCUGCAACUCGACUUCAUGAAGGCGGAGUCGCUAGUAAUCGCGGGUCAGCAGACCGCGGUGAAUACGUUCCCGGGUUUU